ensembl:snRNA Gm24430 U6 spliceosomal RNA
GUGCUCACUUCAGCAGCACAUAUACUAAAAUUGGAACACUACAGAGAUUAACACGGCCCCUAUGCAAGUUUGACAGGCAAAUCUGUGAAGCAUUCUGUAUUUUU